AUUGAACGCUGGCGGCAUGCUUUACACAUGCAAGUCGAACGGUAACAGGCCGCAAGGUGCUGACGAGUGGCGAACGGGUGAGUAAUGCAUCGGAACGUGCCCAGUCGUGGGGGAUAACUACUCGAAAGAGUAGCUAAUACCGCAUACGAUCUAUGGAUGAAAGCGGGGGACCGUAAGGCCUCGCGCGAUUGGAGCGGCCGAUGUCAGAUUAGGUAGUUGGUGGGGUAAAGGCUCACCAAGCCAACGAUCUGUAGCUGGUCUGAGAGGACGACCAGCCACACUGGGACUGAGAAACGGCCCAGACUCCUACGGGAGGCAGCAGUGGGGAAUUUUGGACAAUGGGCGCAAGCCUGAUCCAGCAAUGCCGCGUGCAGGAAGAAGGCCUUCGGGUUGUAAACUGCUUUUGUACGGAACGAAACGGCUCUGGUUAAUACCCGGGGCUAAUGACGGUACCGUAAGAAUAAGCACCGGCUAACUACGUG
rnacentral:rRNA from 1 species